rnacentral:rRNA from 1 species
CGGGAGACCGUAACACAGGUGCUGCAUGGCUGUCGUCAGCUCGUGUCGUGAGAUGUUGGGUUAAGUCCCGCAACGAGCGCAACCCUUGUCAUUAGUUGCUACAUUCAGUUGGGCACUCUAAUGAGACUGCCGGUGACAAACCGGAGGAAGGUGGGGAUGACGUCAAGUCCUCAUGGCCCUUAUAGGUGGGGCUACACACGUCAUACAAUGGAUGGUACAAAGGGUCGCCAACCCGCGAGGGGGAGCCAAUCCCAUAAAGCCAUUCGUAGUCCGGAUCGCAGUCUGCAACUCGACUGCGUGAAGUCGGAAUCGCUAGUAAUCGUGGAUCAGAAUGUCACGGUGAAUACGUUCCCGGGUCUU